rnacentral:lncRNA from 1 species
CCCAAUUCACCCCCUUCCUUUUUAAUUCUUUCUCCUGGUGUGUCUGCUCCACCGCCCGAGCUAAUCCCCCAAAUCCGGUCUCCUAAGCCGCAGCUGCUUCCCUUCGCAGUGAUGAAUGGCUCGGGGAGGGAAGAUCUUCUCUGGUGAGCAUC